AAUUUGACAGAUAUCUUAGAGGACGAACGAGAAACAAUGAAAAUCAAAUACGAGAAGGCAAAAAGUUCAUAUCUUUCGAUAAAAGAUUGAAAAUUUAAAUUACAACUUGAACCAACUAAUAAACCAAUUAGCAAACAAACUGAUAUGACAUCGUAGAGGACGAAGGAGAAACUAUGACUUUCAAUAAAAAAUUGAAAAUUUCAUAUUAAAAAUUACAAGUUGAAUCAAACAAAUCUGAGAACUAAGAAACUAAUUGGCAAACAAAUUGAUAUAGAUAAUUACAAGACAACAAUGUCAAGUGACGAAACCUAGUACCGGUUUCAUUAAAGCUAACUGCAAAUCUACAAGAAGGUACCUGGGGCUUAGGCACAGCUUUCAGUAUAUGAGAAAACGCCGGGAUUCAACGGCUCCGACUACUUGCAGGUAGCCGUCGAUUGCUGCUUCCGGUCUGUGAUGUUUGAGUUUGAAAGUGUUAGCGCCGUGCCGAACUCACUCUUAUAUUGUAGGGAUUCUUAGAUUUAGAAAUCGGCUUCGCUCAACAUGGGUGAUAGAUAAGUUAACUUAUUU
rnacentral:lncRNA from 1 species